UAUAGAGUCUACAAUCAGGAGAUUCUGUUC
rnacentral:piRNA from 1 species